CGAAAUGCGAUAAGUAAUGUGAAUUGCAGAAUUCAGUGAAUCAUCGAAUCUUUGAACGCACAUUGCGCCCGCCAGUAUUCUGGCGGGCAUGCCUGUUCGAGCGUCAUUUCAACCAUCAAGCCCCCGGCUUGUGUUGGGGACCUGCGGCUGCCCGCAGGCCCUGAAAAACAGUGGCGGGCUCGCUGUCACACCGAGCGUGGUAGCAUACAUUCUCGCUCAGGGCGUGCUGCGGGUUCCGGCCGUUAAACGACCUUCAUAACCCAAGGUUGACCUCGGAUCAGGUAGGAAGACCCGCUGAACUUAAGC
rnacentral:misc_RNA from 1 species